rnacentral:rRNA from 1 species
GUCAAGUCAUCAUGGCCCUUACGCCCAGGGCUACACACGUGCUACAAUGGCAGGGACAGAGGGCUGCAAGGUCGCAAGACGGAGCGAAUCCCAGAAACCCUGUCUAAGUUCGGAUUGUGGGCUGCAACUCGCCCACAUGAAGCCGGAAUCGCUAGUAAUCGCGGAUCAGCUACGCCGCGGUGAAUACGUUCCCGGGCCUU